rnacentral:rRNA from 1 species
UACAGAGGUCCCGAGCGUUGUUCGGAUUCACUGGGCGUAAAGGGUGCGUAGGUGGCAGGGUAAGUCGGAUGUGAAAGCUCGGAGCUCAACUCCGAAAUGGCAUUGGAAACUACCCAGCUCGAGGGUUGGAGGGGGGACUGGAAUGCUUGGUGUAGCAGUGAAAUGCGCAGAUAUCAGGAGGAACACCGGGUGGCGAAGGCGGAUCUCUGGGCCUUACCUGACGCUCGAGGUGCGAAAGCUAGGGGAGCGAACAGG